GAUGAACGCUGGCGGCGUGCCUAAUACAUGCAAGUCGAGCGAACAGACGAGGAGCUUGCUCCUCUGACGUUAGCGGCGGACGGGUGAGUAACACGUGGAUAACCUACCUAUAAGACUGGGAUAACUUCGGGAAACCGGAGCUAAUACCGGAUAAUAUAUUGAACCGCAUGGUUCAAUAGUGAAAGACGGUUUUGCUGUCACUUAUAGAUGGAUCCGCGCCGCAUUAGCUAGUUGGUAAGGUAACGGCUUACCAAGGCAACGAUGCGUAGCCGACCUGAGAGGGUGAUCGGCCACCCUGGAACUGGGACACGGUCCAGACUCCUACGGGAGGCAGCAGUAGGGAAUCUUCCGCAAUGGGCGAAAGCUUGACGGAGCAACGCCGCGUGAGUGAUGAAGGUCUUCGGAUCGUAAAACUCUGCUAUUAGGGAAGAACAAAUGUGUAAGUAACUAUGCACGUCUUGACGGUACCUAAUCAGAAAGCCACGGCUAACUACGUG
rnacentral:rRNA from 1 species